AUUUAUGGCGGGCCGUGGUGGGAGUGUCGCGAGACACGCCGGAGGAGAUGCCGGUAACGCCAAUCCCGCCAUGCGCCUGCCACCCCC
rfam:Chromobacterium sp. 37-2 Cmus_37-2.1, whole genome shotgun sequence.